rnacentral:rRNA from 1 species
UACGGGGGGGCAAGCGUUGUUCGGAAUUACUGGGCGUAAAGGGUGCGUAGGCGGCUUUCUAAGUCGGAUGUGAAAACUCUGGGCUCAACCCAGAGCCCGCAUCUGAAACUGGAAAGCUAGGGUUCUGGAGGGGAAAGCGGAAUUCCUGGUGUAGCGGUGAAAUGCGUAGAUAAUCAGGAGGAAUACCGGUGGCGAAGGCGGCAUCCUGGACCGACAUUGACGCUGAGGAGCGAAAGCUAGGGGAGCAAACGGGA